GAUGAACGCUGGCGGCGUGCCUAAUACAUGCAAGUCGAGCGAACAGACGAGGAGCUUGCUCCUCUGACGUUAGCGGCGGACGGGUGAGUAACACGUGGAUAACCUACCUAUAAGACUGGGAUAACUUCGGGAAACCGGAGCUAAUACCGGAUAAUAUAUUGAACCGUAUGGUUCAAUAGUGAAAGACGGUUUUGCUGUCACUUAUAGAUGGAUCCGCGCCGCAUUAGCUAGUUGGUACGGUAACGGCUUACCAAGGCUACGAUGCGUAGCCGACCUGAGAGGGUGAUCGGCGACACGGGAACGGAGACACGGUCCAGACGCCUACGGGAGGCAGCAGUAGGGAAUCUGACGCAAUAGGCGAAAGCAUGACGGAGCAACGCCGCGUGAGUGAUAAAGGUCUCCGGAUCGUAAAACCCUGUUAUUAGGGAAAAACAAAUUUGGAAGUAACUAUGCACGUCGUGACGGUACCUAAUCAGAAAGCCACGGCUAACUACGUG
rnacentral:rRNA from 1 species